UUGACCUCAAAUCAGGUAGGACUACCCGCUGAACUUAAGCAUAUCAAUAAGCGGAGGAAAAGAAACUAACAAGGAUUCCCCUAGUAACUGCGAGUGAAGCGGGAAAAGCUCAAAUUUAAAAUCUGGCAGUCUUUGGCUGUCCGAGUUGUAAUCUAGAGAAGUAUUAUCCGCGCUGGACCGUGUACAAGUCUCCUGGAAUGGAGCGUCAUAGAGGGUGAGAAUCCCGUCUUUGACACGGACUGCCAGGGCUUUGUGAUAUGCUCUCGAAGAGUCGAGUUGUUUGGGAAUGCAGCUCAAAAUGGGUGGUAAAUUCCAUCUAAAGCUAAAUAUUGGCGAGAGACCGAUAGCGAACAAGUACCGUGAGGGAAAGAUGAAAAGAACUUUGGAAAGAGAGUUAAACAGUACGUGAAAUUGCUGAAAGGGAAACGCUUGAAGUCAGUCGCGUUGGCCAGGGAUCAACCUUGCUUUUUUGCUUGGCUUACUUUCUGGUUGAUGGGUCAGCAUCAAUUUUGACCGGUGGAAAAAGUUCAAAGGAAUGUGGCAUCUUCGGAUGUGUUAUAGCCUUUGUUCACAUACAUUGGUUGGGAUUGAGG
rnacentral:rRNA from 1 species